rnacentral:rRNA from 1 species
GUCCCAGACUCCUACGGGAGGCAGCAGUGAGGAAUAUUGGUCAAUGGGCGAGAGCCUGAACCAGCCAAGUCGCGUGAGGGAAGACGGUCCUAUGGCUUGUAAACCUCUUUUGCCGGGGAGCAAAAAGCGGUACGUGUACCGCAUCGAGAGUACCCGGAGAAAAAGCAUCGGCUAACUCCGUGCCAGCAGCCGCGGUAAUACGGAGGAUGCGAGCGUUAUCCGGAUUUAUUGGGUUUAAAGGGUGCGCAGGCGGCGAGUUAAGUCAGCGGUAAAAUUUGGGGGCACACCCCCGAAAAGCCGUUGAAACUGGCUUGCUAGAGUGGGCGAGAAGUAUGCGGAAUGCGUGGUGUAGCGGUGAAAUGCAUAGAUAUCACGCAGAACUCCGAUUGCGAAGGCAGCAUACCGGCGCCCAACUGACGCUGAAGCACGAAAGCGUGGGUAUCGAACAGGAUUAGAUACCCCUGUA